rnacentral:miRNA from 1 species
GCAGACACAUUCCAGCCAAUCAGCAGCAGACCCUCCCUCCUAGACCCUCCCACCUCCUGGACAGCAUCCAUUUUACAUUCAUUGUGAAUCUGCAUUCUUAGUGAGCUGUCCAGUAGGUGGGAGGGUCUGGGAGGGAGGGUCUGCUGCUGAUUGGCUGGAAUGUGUCUG